GCAGGAUAACUUUCACUGGGGCUCAAACUGUAAGCCUUUUGGCUUUACCUGAUUGACCAGAAGCACUUGAAAUCCUUAUUUGAAACUGAGAUGACAAUGGCGUUAGUACAUUUGCAAGUGAUUUAUGUAUAGACUCAUAAUGUGAGUGAAAAACGCCACGGCUAAAUCUGUCGUUGAGUUGACUGUAACGUUACUGUGGCGGAAAUGAAUCAACUGGCUGAUUCGGAAUGCGGAAGAACGUGUGCAUAUACCGAGUAGUUUCGUUACACAGCAUUGCCAACGCUACGGUAGGUAACAAGCGUAAAUUUACCUCAGCUAAUGUAGUUCACAGAAACGAGUUGAUUUAGGGCCUUCGUGACAUGCACCUUUACUUUUGACUAGAUAACCUAUGUUUCAACAGCCGAAAUGUUUGAACUUGUCUUGAUACUUAAAUUUGUACAUACAUGCCAAAGAACCGGCACGUCAGUUUAGGUCACAAUAAAACGAACGUGAUAUGCAUGUGUAUGCACGUGAUAUGCAGGUGUUUACUGUGCAGCUUAAAAGGACUUAAAUAAAACAUUUAAUGCAGACGUCUGAAUUUGAUAAGCUACACUUGUUUUACUUAUUAACUGUUAGAUGGGGUAGUGUUUAGUGACAACAGCUGGUUACCUAUCUUACAUCAUUAGAAUGAAAUGCUAACUAGCUAACUAGGCUUAAUUUUAGUGCAUCAUCUAAUUUUGUUAAGUUGGCUGCGGACACAGAUGACAUCGGUUUAUGUAUUUGUGCUCUUAGGGGAAGCACAGUAAAGCUGAUUUCCUGUGUUUAAAACCACCAGCUGCCACUGCUCUCUUAAUACCCCUGGAGAAAAGGUAUUACCUUUGUGCCAUGUUGGAGAUACCAAGGACAGAACCCCACCAGUGUCACCUGUCUUCAGCUCUCCUGGUACUUAAUGUGGUCACCAUGGUGAUGAGGCAGACUAUCGGUCAGUGCCAUGGCACUGCCCAAGUGGUACAUGAUGUUCAGAGAUAUGUUCUGGCAAUGCUCACCUGGAAAGGAGUGGAUGAAAUGAGCGAAGAAGUGUGGAUGUGCAGCUGCUGUGUACAGAGCACUUGAUUGCCGUCUUUACACACCAACUGUGGAUGACUACAAGAUCUGCACUUUGUCCACGCUGAAUUGUUUUGCAGAAGAGGUGAAAGUCCUGGACAUGGAGAUAGAGGAUAGAACUUUGCGAGUGGUCUUUGCUUUAAGGAAAAGACUGAAGAAACUGACACUUAAUAUCAAUGAAAAGUUGAAGAAUAAGACACAAAUACAGUGUCCACCUUGUGAGAUCCAUACUGAACAAGCUGCAGCCGUGUUCUUAGAGGCACUUAACUCUGUUUUGCAGUAUCAGUGUUCAGCUGAUCCCAUGGACACUUAAGGACUGUGUUUAUUGUUAUUCUGAUCUAUGCCUCAAAUGGAUUGCUCUCAAUAUAUUAUGAAGUCAACAUUGAUAGAGCUACCUUCUGUAAUGACUGCAUUGUAUUGAAAUAAGAGAAAUAUAGUUCAAUAUUAUUCUAACUUUAUGGUAUUUGUAUGUAUAAUACCCUUGCAAUACAGUUACAAUACCCUCUGACUGGAGCUAACACUAAACAUUUGUGUUCUUAGUUGUGAAACACCUUAAGGCAUGGCUCGUGACUAGCAGAUUAACUACUAACAGUUAAAUUGUACAUUAAAAUUCAAUUUGAUGGAAUAUGGUCAUUUGAAUGAUAGCUAAACACACCUUUCAUCCUUACUACUCUUGCAUAUUUAGUCCCCACAACCUCUCUGUAUAGUUCUGUGGUCCAGGUCAGAAACCCAACUAAAAUCUAUGAAAGGUUUUCAUAGCAUACAGUAAAUUUGCUAUAAAGCAGCAUUGUGACUUGAAGCAGGGGCAAUUUAUAUUGUUUCUAAUAUUUUAAUAUAAGAUUUACUGAAUUAAAGCAACUUAGAAGAACAUAAUAUUUCAUACUUUAUUUUAUGGGAAAAUCUUGUUGAAAAUGUAUGUAUCAAGUAUGAAACAGCAAGUAUUUAAAGAAAAUAUAUCAAGUAGGAAAUAUGAUACAAGGUAAGGUUAAGGAUAAUUUAUCUCUAAAUCCCUCCAUUGUCAUUGUCUAAUGUAUUGCAAUUCAUGACGCUAGCUAUGACAGAAUGAUCAUAUCUCAUCAACUCUUUGAUGAUGCAAAACUUGGUAAAUGGACUUAUGAUCCCUUCCUGAGGUAAUGCACAAAUGUUGCAUUAUUUGACCACUGGGGACACUGUAAUAAGAAAAAACAAUUGACAAGGCAAAUUAAAAAGGUUGAAAAAGGUUCCUGUUUGGAAAAAAAAACAUUAUUUGUUUUUGUUUCUAAAAUAUGCUUUUGUGCAACCACUAACCACGCCAGCACACCAGUGAUAGAUAAAGGCCCGGUGUCUGUAUUUUGUCAAAAGAUCCAAUAAACACUAAUUAAACACUACUUAAAAGAUUAUA
rnacentral:lncRNA from 1 species